rnacentral:lncRNA from 1 species
GGGCUAUGAUGAUAAUAAUAUUUUAUUUUUUAACUUAUUCAGGCAUCGGGGUAUGUUGCAAAUGUAGCCUAUUUGCAUAUUUAUUUAUCAAAAAAUUCUAUUUACCUAUGCCUCUCAAAUUAUUUUGUUUUUGCAUGUCCACCAACAAUAUUAAUAAAAAUUUAUUUUAAAUAUAAAAUUACUUUAUUAUCCUUUUACAUUAAUAUGUUUGAAAAUUUUAUAUAAAAAUAUAACUAAUUUCUAAAUAUUAAUUUUCCAGUAAUCUUAUAAAAAGAAAAUUGAAAAUAAUUAUUUAUUGCACCAUCAGUCAAGGGGAG